rnacentral:lncRNA from 1 species
AAAAAGGAAGCCAACUAUCUGGUCAGAUUUGUGAUGCGCAGUUGAUGAGAAACAGAAGCCUAAAAUGCUGAUCAGAAAUCCAGAACUAGUUCAAUGGAAAGAAGUCCUGGAUUCACUGGAAGAAGAAUUGUGUUGCAGUUCUGGGCUGUGACUCCAGAAGGAAUUAGGGGCUCAAAGGGACUCUGAUGGGAACAUGUUCAGUGGAAGCAGCUGAAAAGCAUUACGUGGCCCUUCAACCAACCUGGUGAGUCCAAAAGCUCCUGCUCCUAUUUUAGCAUGGGCGGAUGGGCCACAUCCAUGGGCUAUAGUUCAUCCUAGAAUUCCAUCAAUUUGGAAGGAACCAGGCUAUCAGUGCAGAUGCAGAUGCCACAGAAUCACAGAAUGGUGUAGAUUGGAAGGCAACUCUGGAGGUCACCUGAUCCAUCCCCUCCUGCUCAAACAAGUUGUCUGCAUUUACCCGGACAAAUAUCAUGAUGGGAGCCUGAUCUUCAUGGCUGUACACAGGCAAGAUAUACUUAAGACAGUAAUACGAUACACACAGAGAAAUGGAAGACGAAGACAUGAUCAGACCAUAGUCAUAAAUUGCAUAGCUACCACCUUGGUUCAUGCAGCCCUGAUAACCAAAUGUAAAGCUUUGAAAACAAAGAUAAUCCUUCUGACUGUAACAAAAUGUGCCUGAAUAACAAUCAUAGAAUCAUAGAAUAUCCUGAGGGGGACUAAACAAGGGACUAAAAAUAAUGGAAAAAAGCUUCAGAACAUUUUCUUUUCUUGACUGCCAUUUUGAGAUGUGAAGAAAAGAGAACAGCAUUAUAAUUAAAGGAACGUUUCCCCUCUCUUUUUUUGUAAAUAUCCUAAUGGAACAUUUUGACCUGAUCUGAAAGAUUUUGACAAGCUCAUGUUGUGACGUGAGUGUCGGGUUGCCCAGCAAUGCCAACCCAUAGAAGGAAGCAGGCAUGAUCCUGCAUUUGAAAUUGCUUUGGGUACAAAUAAGGGCUGUAUUCUAUAAGUAGUCAAGAGCCAAUGGGAGAUUUGGAGAUCAAGGAGAAAGCAUUAGCCUUUAUGAGGUGAAAUAUUUAGUACUAGCAUUUAAGGACUUAAAUAUCUUUUAGAGUAUGGCUCUUAACUAUUAUUUACCUAGUGAUUUAUAGCUCAGUUCUCCAUGCGGCAAGAAAGUCUGGUCUUGCAGCAGACUAAAGUAGCCCUGUGUGUCUCCUGUUUCCUUAUUCUUUGCACUUUUCUUUGUUUCUUUUAUUGGACUUUCUUUUUAUACCUCCCUCCUUGCAUUAAGUCCGUAGACCUGUCACAUGGGUUUCAUGCCCACCUUUAUAGAUGUUACAUCCACCAGAACAUCCAGUGUUGAAAUAGUUAGCAUCAAAGUGACCUUGCAGGACUUUCAAGCUAACAGUUUCAUAAGACACUGAUGGAUAAGAGGACGGAUGAUCCUGGUGAGAAAUGCUUUAGGAUCUCUCAAGUUUAGGCAAUCAUCACUGUAUCAGUUUGUUAAGAAGUUUAUCACAGCAGCCAUGGGCUAUAAAAAUACGAACCCAGAAGGAAGGACCUACUCUGAGGGACUUGCCACAGCCCUCAGCGAAAGCUUCGACCCUCAGGAGGGCCAGGAGCCCAUGAAUGGACAGGACGAAGGUGUUACCUGACGGUGCAGGUGGAAGGACCCUGUGUUU